rnacentral:rRNA from 1 species
UACGAAGGGGGCUAGCGUUGUUCGGAAUCACUGGGCGUAAAGGGCGCGUAGGCGGCCAUAUAAGUCGGGGGUGAAAGCCUGUGGCUCAACCACAGAAUUGCCUUCGAUACUGUAUGGCUCGAGACCGGAAGAGGUAAGUGGAACUGCGAGUGUAGAGGUGAAAUUCGUAGAUAUUCGCAAGAACACCAGUGGCGAAGGCGGCUCACUGGCCCGAUACUGACGCUGAGGUGCGAAAGCGUGGGGAGCAAACAGG